CCUACGGGAGGCUGCAGUGGGGAAUAUUGCACAAUGGGCGCAAGCCUGAUGCAGCCAUGCCGCGUGUGUGAAGAAGGCCUUCGGGUUGUAAAGCACUUUCAGCGGGGAGGAAGGCGGUGAGGUUAAUAACCUCAUCGAUUGACGUUACCCGCAGAAGAAGCACCGGCUAACUCCGUGCCAGCAGCCGCGGUAAUACGGAGGGUGCAAGCGUUAAUCGGAAUUACUGGGCGUAAAGCGCACGCAGGCGGUCUGUCAAGUCGGAUGUGAAAUCCCCGGGCUCAACCUGGGAACUGCAUUCGAAACUGGCAGGCUAGAGUAUUGUAGAGGGGGGUAGAAGUCCAGGUGUAGCGGUGAAAUGCGUAGAGAUCUGGAGGAAUACCGGUGGCGAAGGCGGCCCCCUGGACAAAGACUGACGCUCAGGUGCGAAAGCGUGGGGAGCAAACAGGAUUAGAUACCCUUGUAGUC
rnacentral:rRNA from 1 species